AUUCCAGCUCCAAUAGCGUAUAUUAAUGUUGUUGCAGUUAAAAAGCUCGUAGUUGGAUUUCUGGUGGGAGCGGCCGGUCCGCCGUAAGGUGUGUACUUGGUUGUCUCCUGUCAUCCUUGUGGGAACUGCUCUGGCAUUAAGUUGUCGGGGUUAGGGAACACAUCGUUUACUGUGAAAAAAUUAGAGUGUUUAAAGCAGGCUUAUGCCGUUGAAUACAUUAGCAUGGAAUAAUAAGAUAGGACUUUGGCGUCUAUUUUGUUGGUUUGCACACCAAGGUAAUGAUUAAUAGGGAUAGUUGGGGGUAUUCGUAUUUGAUUGUCAGAGGUGAAAUUCUUGGAUUUUUCAAAGAUGAACAAGUGCGAAAGCAUUUACCAAGGAUGUUUUCAUCG
rnacentral:rRNA from 1 species